GAUGAACGCUGGCGGCGUGCCUAAUACAUGCAAGUCGAGCGAACAGACGAGGCGCUUGCUCCUCUGACGUUAGCGGCGGACGGGUGAGUAACACGUGGAUAACCUACCUAUAAGACUGGGAUAACUUCGGGACACCGGAGCUAAUACCGGAUAAUAUAUUGAACCGCAUGGUUCAAUAGUGAAAGACGGUUUUGCUGUCACUUAUAGAUGGAUCCGCGCCGCAUUAGCUAGUUGGUAAGGUAACGGCUUACCAAGGCAACGAUGCGUAGCCGACCUGAGAGGGUGAUAGGCCACACUGGAACUGGGACACGGUCCAGGCUCCUACGGGAGGCAGCAGUAGGGAAUCUUCCGCAAUGGGCGAAAGCUUGACGGAGCAACGCCGCGUGAGUGAUGAAGGUCUUCGGAUCGUAAAACUCUGUUAUUAGGGAAGAACAAAUGUGUAAGUAACUAUGCACGUCUUGACGGUACCUAAUCAGAAAGCCACGGCUAACUACGUG
rnacentral:rRNA from 1 species